ACUGCUGUCGUUACAGGUCUUUUUCUUUUUUAUUUUUUUUAUUUCCUGGGUGUUCUUUGAUUUGCCUUUAUUCUAAUUCAGGAAUUUGCAGUUUCAGAUUAUUGUAAAUCUCAUUCUGGAAUCAGGAGAGUGUGUGUGUGUGUUGGGGUUGGGAAUAAAUGGAUGAAAGACUUUUUUUUAUUUUGUAGAUGCUGAUGUUGUUCUUUCAUUGGUAUCAGCUAAUUAUGUAAUGGUUUUUCAGUUAUUUAUAAAAAAGCACGGUUAAGCGCUUAUUUGAAA